rnacentral:rRNA from 1 species
GACGAACGCUGGCGGCGUGCUUAACACAUGCAAGUCGAACGGUGAAGGGACCGGUUUUUGCUGGUUCUGGAUGAGUGGCGAACGGGUGAGCAACACGUGAGUAACCUGCCCCCUUCUUCUGGAUAACCGCAUGAAAGUGUGGCUAAUACGGGAUAUUCUGCGCCUGCUGCAUGGUGGGUGUGGGAAAGAUAUUGUUUCGGUGGGGGAUGGGCUCGCGGCCUAUCAGCUUGUUGGUGGGGUGAUGGCCUACCAAGGCGGUGACGGGUAGCCAGCCUGAGAGGGUGGACGGUCACACUGGGACUGAGACACGGCCCAGACUCCUACGGGAGGCAGCAGUGGGGAAUAUUGCACAAUGGGCGCAAGGCUGAUGCAGCGACGCCGCGUGAGGGAUGGAGGCCUUCGGGUUGUAAACCUCUUUCGCCAGUGAAGCAGGCCUGUCCCUUUUGUGGGUGGGUUGACGGUAGCUGGAUAAGAAGCGCCGGCUAACUACGUG